rnacentral:rRNA from 1 species
UGAGGAAUAUUGGUCAAUGGGCGGGAGCCUGAACCAGCCAAGCCGCGUGAGGGAGGAAGGCCCUAUGGGUCGUAAACCUCUUUUGUCAGGGAACAAAAGCGAGUAUGUAUACUAGUCUGAGUGUACCUGAAGAAAAAGCAUCGGCUAACUCCGUGCCAGCAGCCGCGGUAAUACGGAGGAUGCGAGCGUUAUCCGGAUUUAUUGGGUUUAAAGGGUGCGUAGGCGGCGGUGCAAGUCAGCGGUAAAAGCCCGGGGGCUCAGCCCCGGCGAGCCGUUGAAACUGCAGUGCUAGAGAAGGCGAGAGGUACGCGGAAUGCGCAGUGUAGCGGUGAAAUGCUUAGAUAUUGCGCAGAACUCCGAUUGCGAAGGCAGCGUACUGGCGCCUGACUGACGCUGAGGCACGAAAGCGUGGGGAUCGAACAGGAUUAGAUACC